UACAGAGGUCCCAAGCGUUGUUCGGAUUCACUGGGCGUAAAGGGUGCGCAGGUGGGUUGGCAAGUUUGAUGUGAAAGCCCCGGGCUUAACCCGGAAUGGCAUUGAAUACUGCUGAUCUGGAGGAUCGGAGGGGGGACUGGAAUUCUUGGUGUAGCAGUGAAAUGCGUAGAUAUGCGGAGGAACACCGAUGGCGAAGGCAAU
rnacentral:rRNA from 1 species